rnacentral:rRNA from 1 species
AACGAACGCUGGCGGCGCGCCUAAUACAUGCAAGUCGAGCGAGAAGACGUAGCAAUACGUUUGUAAAGCGGCGAACGGGUGAGGAAUACAUGGGUAACCUACCCUCGAGUGGGGAAUAACUAGCCGAAAGGUUAGCUAAUACCGCGUACGCUCCUUGGACUUCGGUUCAGGGAGGAAAGCGAUACCGUGGGUAUCGCGCUCUUGGAUGGGCUCAUGUCCUAUCAGCUUGUUGGUGAGGAACGGCUCACCAAGGCUUCGACGGGUAGCUGGUCUGAGAGGACGAUCAGCCACACUGGCACUGCGACACGGGCCAGACUCCUACGGGAGGCAGCAGUGGGGAAUCUUGCGCAAUGGGCGAAAGCCUGACGCAGCGACGCCGCGUGAGGGAUGACGGCCUCGGUUGUAA